UCCAGACUCCUACGGGAGGCAGCAGUGGGGAAUAUUGCACAAUGGGGGAAACCCUGAUGCAGCGACGCCGCGUGAGUGAAGAAGUAUUUCGGUAUGUAAAGCUCUAUCAGCAGGAAAGAAAAUGACGGUACCUGACUAAGAAGCCCCGGCUAACUACGUGCCAGCAGCCGCGGUAAUACGUAGGGGGCAAGCGUUAUCCGGAUUUACUGGGUGUAAAGGGAGCGUAGACGGUGAAGCAAGUCUGAAGUGAAAGGCGGGGGCUCAACCCCCGGACUGCUUUGGAAACUGUUUGACUGGAGUGCAGGAGAGGUAAGUGGAAUUCCUAGUGUAGCGGCGAAAUGCGUAGAUAUUAGGAAGAACACCAGUGGCGAAGGCGGCUUUCUGGACUGAAACUGACGCUGAGGCACGAAAGCGUGGGGAGCGAACAGGAUUAGAUACCCUCGUACA
rnacentral:rRNA from 1 species